CGGGUGAGUAACGCGUGGGUAACCUGCCUUAUACUGGGGGAUAACAGCCAGAAAUGACUGCUAAUACCGCAUAAGCGCACAGAACCGCAUGGUCCGGUGUGAAAAACUCCGGUGGUAUAAGAUGGACCCGCGUUGGAUUAGCUAGUUGGCAGGGCAGCGGCCUACCAAGGCGACGAUCCAUAGCCGGCCUGAGAGGGUGAACGGCCACAUUGGGACUGAGACACGGCCCAGACUCCUACGGGAGGCAGCAUG
rnacentral:rRNA from 1 species